UAAGUACUCUCUCCGUCCAACAAAACAUGUUUCAAGUUUGUAAAAAUUUGAAUGUAUCACAUGAUGGUAUUGGGGGUGGGCGAGGCGAGGGGGGAGGGACAAUGAAUUUUAUAUAGAUGCAUUCAAUUUAGUCAAAGUUGAGAUAUUUUUUGUUGGGCGGAUGGAGUACUCU
rnacentral:pre_miRNA from 1 species